GGAUAAUCUACCCUUAGGACCGGGAUAACCCUGGGAAACUGGGGAUAAUACUGGAUAGGCAAUUAUUCCUGUAAUGGUUUUUUGUUUAAAUGUUUUUUCGCCUAAGGAUGAGUCUGCGGCCGAUUAGGUAGUUGGUUAGGUAAUGGCUUACCAAGCCGUUGAUCGGUACGGGUUGUGAGAGCAAGAGCCCGGAGAUGGAACCUGAGACAAGGUUCCAGGCCCUACGGGGUGCAGCAGGCGCGAAACCUCCGCAAUGUGAGAAAUCGCGACGGGGGGAUCCCAAGUGCCAUUCUUAACGGGAUGGCUUUUCAUUAGUGUAAAGAGCUUUUGGAAUAAGAGCUGGGCAAGACCGGUGCCAGCCGCCGCGGUAACACCGGCAGCUCUAGUGGUAACAAUUUUUAUUGGGCCUAAAGCGUCCGUAGCCGGUUUAAUAAGUCUCUGGUGAAAUCCUGCAGCUUAACUGUGGGAAUUGCUGGAGAUACUAUUAGACUUGAGACCGGGAGAGGUUAGAGGUACUCCCAGGGUAGAGGUGAAAUUCUGUAAUCCUGGGAGGACCGCCUGUUGCGAAGGCGUCUAACUGGAACGGUUCUGACGGUGAGGGACGAAAGUUAGGGGUGCGAACCGGAUUAGAUACCCGGGUAGUCCUAACUGUAAACGAUGCGGACUUGGUGUUGGGGGUGGCUUUGAGCUGCUUCAGUGCCGAAAGGGAAGCUGUUAAGUCCGCCGCCUGGGAAG
rnacentral:rRNA from 1 species